AUGAACGAACCCUGCAGGAACGAAACUUUUCUUUUUCUAAGCAUACGCACCCAUGUUGACUUUCUACCCUUGAGUAAAUAUUCUAAUCCGACUCUCCGUUGUAAUCGAUUUUCGUGUCGUUUGUACAAACAGAUUUCUUUAAAUAUUAGUCCUAAGAAGUUCGUCUCUUUUCAGUGAGUCAUAUCAUUUGACUCGGCUCACCACGUCACGGGGAACCCUGGAGUCUAUCCCAGGGAGCAUUGGGCAGAAGGCGGGGUACACCCUGGACAGGGUGCCAAUACCUCACAACUUACACGACUUAAAGGAUCUCUUGGAACAUCUUGGUUCCAGAUAUCACAGCACACCUUCAGAGCGCUUGUGGAGUCCAUGCCGUGACGGGUCAGAGCUGUUCUGGUGGCACAAGGGGAGGGGGACCUACACGAUAUUAGGCAGGUGGUUUAAACGUUAUGGCUGAUACAUACCGGUACAUACUCACAAAACCUCAAUAUUGAAUGUAUAUAACUCACAACAUGAUCACUAAUUAGUAGGUACACCAGCCCAAGACAUGAUAAUGAAAAUAUUUCUUUAUUAAUAAAUGUUAUUGACUUUGGCACAAGACUGAAGUUUUAAUAUAUACAUCACAUGAAAGGCACUUUAACAGUCACGUUAUGGUAUUUGUUAAUACACGAGUGUUGGAGUUCAGCACACUGUCAGCAGUAAUGCUGGUGAUUUUAUUUAUUUAUUUGUUUGUUUGUUUGUUUGUGAAGCUCACAAAAGUAAGACAUGCCAUUAUUCUGAAGUCCACGUUCCACACAUUGGAUGCUACGAAAGCUGUACAUGAACAAAAGUUUGGAGAUCUUUAUAACUGCAAAAAAAAAACAAAAAAAAACAA